rnacentral:rRNA from 1 species
CUAUGCGCCUUGCCAGCCCGCUCAGGUGUGCCAGCAGCCGCGGUAAUACGGAGGAUGCGAGCGUUAUCCGGAGUUUAUUGGGUUUAAAGGGUGCGUAGGCGGUCCGUUAAGUCAGCGGUAAAAUUGCGGGGCUCAACCCCGUCGAGCCGUUGAAACUGGCAGACUUGAGUUGGCGAGAAGUACGCGGAAUGCGCGGUGUAGCGGUGAAAUGCAUAGAUAUCGCGCAGAACUCCGAUUGCGAAGGCAGCGUACCGGCGCCACACUGACGCUGAGGCACGAAAGCGUGGGGAUCGAACAGG